CCUACGGGAGGCAGCAGUGAGGAAUAUUGGUCAAUGGCCGGAAGGCUGAACCAGCCAAGCCGCGUGAAGGACGAAGGUGCAAAGGAUUGUAAACCUCUUUUGCCAAGGGACAAAAUGAGGCACGAGAGCCGGACCGAGGGUACCCGAAGAAAAAGCAUCGGCUAACUCCGUGCCAGCAGCCGCGGUAAUACGGAGGAUGCGAGCGUUAUCCGGAUUUAUUGGGUUUAAAGGGUGCGUAGGCGGCCUGUUAAGUCAGCGGUAACAGCGCGGGGCGCAACCCCGGCGAGCCGUUGAAACUGGCUGUCUUGUGCUGUCGAGCGGUAUGCGGAUUGCGCCGUGUAGCGGUGACCUGCUUAGAUAUUGCGCAGAACUCCGAUUGCGAAGGCAGCCUGCUGGACUGUACCUGACGCUGAUGCUCGACAGUGUGGGUAUCCAACAGGAUUAGAUACCCUUGUAGUC
rnacentral:rRNA from 1 species